rnacentral:rRNA from 1 species
GCUUACGGCCAUACCACCCUGAAUAUCCCCCAUUUUGUCUAAUUUCGGAAGCUCAGUAGGGUCCGGCCUGGUUAGUACUUGGAUGGGAAACCCCCUGGGAAUAGCAGGUGCUGUAAACC